rnacentral:rRNA from 1 species
UACGUAGGGUGCAAGCGUAAUCGGAAUUACUGGGCGUAAAGAGCUCGUAGGUGGUUGUCGCGUUGUCCGUGAAAACUCACAACUCAAUUGUGGGCGUGCGGGCGAUACGGGCAGACUGGAGUACUGCAGGGGAGACUGGAAUUCCUGGUGUAGCGGUGGAAUGCGCAGAGUAUCAGGAGGAACACCGGUGGCGAAGGCGG